GUUUCUGCCAGGGAGACAGGGGAUCUUGGAGAACACAGGACUGGGACAGGUCCAGUCUGCAGGACUGGGAUUCGAGGUGGGUGACUGUGAGGUUCACACCCUAGCUAAGAACUCACGGGGGAAUUAAGGCUCGACAGAGCGCCUCGGGGCCUGAUGCAUCCUCCCCUUCUUCUUUUCUGAGGGCCUUAUCUUGUGCCAAGAACUGUAAGCAAGCCUCUGCUCUGGCUGGCUUGUGGUCAAAAGGAGCUUGAGAGGCUGGUGCUUUCUUCCUGGUCAGAGCCAGGGGGUGGACUGGCCCCCCGCAGCCUGCAGGACCCACUGCGAAGUGGUACAGCGCCCUGGGUGCAAAGUUAGUAGGAAAUCAAGAUGGUGGCGGCAGAGCAUGAAGUCAAGGGCAGGGCCCUUCUGAGCAGGGCGCCCUAUGCCAGCAGUGCACGUUGAAAGCCUGGGAUGCCAGCCGGGACAGAGGGCAGCUUGGGGCCUGGGCUCUGUUUGCCUGCUCAAGUGCACAUGUGUGUGUGUGGGGGUGCGCACAAGAGGGAGAGAGAGAGAACACUUCUGGGCAAAUCUUUCCGCCUGGAUUUCUGUUUCCUCAGCUGUUAUCGAGGACAUUGAACUGGUGAUCUUUGGCUUGCCUCUCCUAUGGGUCUGCAUUUCCUCUUCUCCAGGACGAGAGGAGGAUUUUCCAGGCUUCUCUCUACUGCACACAGUUCUGAACUCCACCGCGAGGAGCAGAGCAGAAACCAAAACACAGAAGAAGAAGGAAGAUUUCCCAACUCAUUUUAUGAAUCCAGCAUUACCCGCAUGCCACAGUCAAAG
rnacentral:lncRNA from 1 species